CCAACUGCAUCAAAUUCCUGCCACUCCGAUUUUCCUGUGAUGAUGAACUAUGCACUCUGGAAUUGUAAACACUUUUAAUAUCUCCCCAUAAGGAGGCAUGGACUUUGGCAACAGUGCGAGGCAGCAGAAUGGAGAAAUCCAGAGAAAGAGACCGUAGAGCAUCAACCCUGCAUUCAGAGGUCCUGCAUCGACAUUACAGGAUGACACCAGCAUUUUGGACCAGAAACCUGAGCGUUUGCCCAGAGUCUACUUCCUCAAGUUCUUAUCUAAGAUCUACAGUAAGAUUGAGCUUGCUCACUCUCUUUGAAGUUCAAUGUGGCAAUGUGGCUGGAGUGGCCAAGGAUAUAAACAAAAGCAAAACAGAUGAACAAUUCCUUAGGUUCAUCCCCUCAUCCACCAUAACCUGACACGUCCCAAAGAAGUUAGUUGUCUCCGCUUGAUACCCAGAUUGAGAACAAGAUAAGCUGCAAUCUCCUGUAUUGGAUAGUUUUAUGCCAGUUUGACACAAACUAAAGUCAUUUUGGAAGAAGGAACUUCAGUGGAUAAAAUGUUUCCACCAGA